CAAUAGCGUAUAUUUAAGUUGUUGCAGUUAAAAAGCUCGUAGUUGGAUUUCGGUUAAGAGCGACCGGUCCGCCGUUUGGUGUGCACUGGUUGGUUUUAACUUCCUGUAGAGGACGUGCUCUGGGUUUAACGACCUGGACUCGGAGUCUACGUGGUUACUUUGAAAAAAUUAGAGUGUUCAAAGCGGGCUUACGCUUGAAUAUUUCAGCAUGGAAUAACGCUAUAGGACUCCUGUCCUAUUUCGUUGGUCUCGGGACGGGAGUAAUGAUUAAGAGGAACAGUUGGGGGCAUUCGUAUUUCAUUGUCAGAGGUGAAAUUCUUGGAUUUAUGAAAGACGAACUUCUGCGAAAGCAUUUGCCAAGGAUGUUUNCAUUAA
rnacentral:rRNA from 1 species